UUUCCAAGCGGCUCCCGCCGGGGGUGAGGGGCGGGGUGUUCGGCGAAUUUGGACACGCGGUUGAUCCGGUCCAAGAGGAAACGUGCUCUCGCCUUCCGCUGGCUGCCGACCCUGGCCAUCGCGAUGGGUGAUCCAGGUGGCUCAGCAGAGGCUGCAGCAGUAACCAGCGGCCCUUUGGUCCGGACAGGAACGUCUGCGGCCCCUCGCUUAUCAGCUGGGGUCGGACGGAGGAUACGGAGGGAUUGGGCCACACGCAGCCGCCGAAAUCGGCCCGAAGGAUGGCGAGAGGGCGCGGGGCCUGCAGAAGAGCGCUGCGUUGCCCUCUGGCGGGUUUUCUGGAUCCUGUAAGCAACCAGUGAAGCUGUCCUUUUACGACACCUUUUAUUACUCUCUUCCCAGGGUCGCGAAGCAAACGGAAGAUGCCUCCUGCUCCUUGGAUGGGUUUUCCAGGUGACCCCGGUUUGGAUGACCUAGGUCAGUUUCCUGGAAGAUUAGUGCUGUGCUGCAUGAAAAUCUGGUUUCAUUUCUGCUGGUUAUGUGUCAUUGUUUCGGCUUAGGGCCUUCCAGGUUGGUUGGUUGGUGGCGUCUUUCCUCGAGACACAGGGUCUUAUGUAGUCCAGGCCCGCUUUGAGCUCAUCAUGCAGCCCGGGCUCGCCUCAGACCCACAGUGGCCCUCUUGUCUCAGAGCUGAGAUUGCAGCGUGCAGCGCUGCGCCCAGCUUGCUUUAAUGCUUCACCACAUACUUUUGCUGGAGGGCUGUGUUAAGUGCAUAUAAAUAAACUUGGUCCAACCCCAAGGUUUGUGCAAUCUGAUUCCUAAGCCGUGUGGCUUCCACUGCUGAGAUACACACACAGCACCAGCUGUUUUGGAGAGUGACUUAGCCACCCACAGUGUAGGCCCUGAAGGCACUCUGUGUCUUUAGGGAACGUGAACUGUUGGGAGAUGGCAGUGCGUAGGGGCAGAUGGCCAGGAUCUUGGGACAACCCAUAGGGGUGCCCCCAUGUUUCUGGGUGAUUUUAAUGUUUCCCUUCCGAUAACAGCGGCCAGGAAAUGACUGUUCCUCUCCACCUGGUCCUGCUAUGCUGUAGGGUGGUCACUGACAGCUGCCCCUACUUACUUGGGUGCAUUUCUGACCUCACGGAGCCUUGAGCUUCAGCCCGCUGGCCAUGCACCCAGUGUCACCAGGUGACUGCUGCAGGACUAAGCCAUUCCCUCCCCUGGGGACCUUCGGGCUGUGGUUCUUUGGUGGUCACUCUGUGCUGCCUUUGUGCUGUCCCCAUCUCUUAGUCCCUAUGCACCCCUCAGCAAGAGGGGUCCUCAGCAAGAGCAGAGCCACUGUCACACCCCGUUUUGCACACAUCUGAGGGAAUAUUAUUGUCAUCAUGACUAGGGACACGGCAUCAGAAUGCCCAGUCCUUUAUGUAAAUAAAGCAGAUGUCUCUGGCUGCGUGUGGUGCAGGUUAUACCACUUCGGGCCAUGGGUGUGUCACUGUUGGCCAGGGACAGUAGAAUGAGAAGGUCACCUGGGUUUCUGGCCUUACUAUGUGUGUGCGCGAGGUACCUGCCUGUCCUCGCCCAGCUCUACCCCAGGCAGGGACGCUGAGUACCACUGAGGUCAGCCUUGGUGGGUUUGACAGUUGUCCACAGCCAGGACCUUUGUAGAGAGGAGGCCUGGCCCCUGAGGAGGCGCAGAGCAUAGCAUUCAGUUGGUGCAGAGAGGACUUUGCCCAGGCCUUAGGCCUGGCUUGGUUAGUUCUUUAUCACAUGCCUUAAGAGUCCACGCCUGUUGGAGGCUGGUUUUUAUGGUUGGUUGUUUUUUUGUCUUUUUGACACACAGUCUCGCUAUGCAGUUCAGGCUGGCCUCAAACUCACAAAGAUCCUCCUGCCUCAGCCUCCCAAUUGCCGGGAUUACAGGAGUGCACCACCACACCCAGCUGGAGGCUGUUUCAAAUUGAGCCAUCAGCACCCACCGUUUCUACAGGGGUUUCAGGCGCACGGCCCAGGACUCAUCUGCUGUGAGCCUUUUGGCAAAUCACUCCCCACUGGGGGCCUCGGUUCAGUAAAGUUGGGUCAGUGGCAGUGCAGAGGACUCCCACCGACGGGCACUUCUGAGGGCGUGGUGAGGGAUCCCAUGAAACACCGAGAUGGGCCCUGGGCCUGCGUGUAUCCUAGGCACCAUGUUCUGGGUGUGACGUUCAUUAUUUCAGUCUGUGAGAUUCUCUGGGUGCUGCAGUUGGCAAAGUCCGAGGGUCUUCACAGACACCAUUGUCCCCUGAGCCACCAAAACCAGUCACCAUGCUGGAGCUGCUACAGGCUGCUGGGUCUUGCCCUCGGGUACAGUGAGCAGUUACCCCAGCCUGUGCCUGCCGGGCUAGAGGAAGAAUGCAUGACAAUUGCCUAAAUCACCUCAGUGUCAAAUGUGGUAUGAAAAACAGCAUCACUGGUAUUUCUGGACAAGACCUCUGAGGGCCAGGUCAGGACUCCCCAUCCUGCUUGGGAUGUUUUUCCUAUGUGCAGAGCCUUGGCUCCGGUGCAGCUGCCCUGGGCACUGCCAGGUCCGCCCUUGGGGCACCUGAGUCCUCGUGUAGCUGUGGGCCCCUGUGCCAAGGUCCCUGAGGAGCUCUCAAAGUUGUCGUUUAGUGGUUUAGUUUCAGUAGGACCUUGACUGGGUGUCCGACCUUUUGGCUGGCCUGAGCUGCAGUGAGUUAAGGGGAAUUGUCUUAGGCUGCAUAUAAGACAUGAUUAAUGUACAUAAGCAACAAAUCUUCCUUUUUAGAAAUAGUCUUACUGCAUUUUUUACUUAAAUUUUUUAUUUUUGCUUUUUUUUUUUUUUUGGUACUGGGUAUCGAACUCACAACCUCACACUUACCAGGCAAGCGCUUGAGCCACUGAGCUAAAUCCCCAGCCCCUUGUUUACAUUUUUUUUUUUUUUUUGUCUUUUUCAUUUUUAUGGGUACCAGGGAUCAAACUCACGACUGCCUGCUUGGAAGGCAGGCGCUUAUGCCGCUGAGCUAAAUCCCCAGCCCCUGUUUACAUUUUAUAAAAGGACAAGGGCUGGGGGUUAUAGCUUAGCAGCACAGCGCCUACCUGGCAAGUGUGAGAUUGAGUUUGAUUCCUGGUACCAAAAAAGGGCAAGCACCCAUGGGCCACUGGAGGCCACCCCUACAGUCAGAGGUCCCAGAGCAAGUGGUGACUGAUUGCAGCCCUAAGAAUCCUCACAGGAUGCAGAUCGAGGGUCCAGAGCCCAGCCGUUCCUUACUGUCAGUCCCAGUGUCCUGAGUCCUCCAGUUGGGCAGGGGCAUCCCAGGGUGGAAGAGCACCUGCAUCCUUGUCCUCUUAGCUCUGCUGAAGUUGUACUGAGGUGACUUGGUACCUGUGACACUGUGACAACUGCUUCAUUGAUUCUCCCACACGGUAAUGGGCUCUGCCUGGCGUCCCCGGGGUAAUGGGGGACACCCACACUGCUCAGGAACUCUAGGAAUGCUCUCCACCUGUCCCCUGCUUGGCUCCUGCUCCUUCCCCAGGGCCUAGGCACAGUGACAGUGACUUGUGUGCUCUAGAGAACACACGCAUGUUUGAAGUUGGCUGCAGUGUGUCUGUCUGGUUGGUGACUUUGUUCCUCUGGAUUAUGAGAUGAUGAUCAAACUCACGACUUAGUUUGCCAAGCAGGCGCUUACACCACUGAGCUAAAUUCCCUGCCCAAGAGUCCCAUCUUUUAAAGGAAAUAGCACCUUCUGUGGUGAGAAUUGAUCAUGAAAUCUGAGGGUGUUUGUACGUGUUAAGAUCACUGCAGGGCACCAACGCGUGUAUCAGAGGAAGUGUAAAAAGGAACUGCAGCACUCGGGAGAUUGAGGCAGGAGGGUCACUGGACUACGAAGCGAGUUCCAGGCUGCCUGAACUGUAUAGUGAGACCCUGUCUCCAGAAGACAAAGAAAGAAAAAAGGAACUACAGCAUGGUUCCAAAUAGGAGUUUGAGCUUUUCCCUUUGUCCACUAGAGGAUGUAACCUUCCACCACACUGCUUUUUGGUAACCUGCUAGACAGUGUGCCUUUGAUAUUUUUUUUUGCUUGAAAAAAAAAAAAAGAAAUUCAAGACCUUUUUUCACCAGAAAGUUCUGCAGCAGAUUCAUCUGCAGGGUGGGGCUGCUGAGGAAUCCGGCAGCAGGUUCCAGUUGUGCUCAGCUCCUGGGAAGUGCGCACCAGAUCAAGAAACAGCCGUAGCCAGUCUGGGCACAGGCACUUUGGGACAAGAGCACGUUCUAUUUCAUCGCUGGGCAGGGCCCCUCCUGACUGGUGCCUUAGUCACCAGAGGGUUUUCCUGCUGAGGAAUCCGGGACUGUACAUAGCAGCAUGUGAAGUCCCCGCCUGCGGGCUAAGGCUGCAGUGUCUCCGGCUGAGAAGGGCGCUCCUAUCUGAAACUGCAAGGUGCAUAUCUGGAUGAGCAAAGUUCACACAGAGCCUCCAGCCACUGACUUCCCAUUAGGAAGGUGCUGUUGAAUAAGCAAGCAAGUAAGGACGCUCUGUCUUUUUUGGAGCCGGGCUCAGCUUUCUGGUGGAUCAAACAAGUGUUUCAUUGAGCCCUCAUUGCUGGCCGCUCAGAUGACAGACUGAGCAAAAUAGCCAUGCUGGCUGCCCUCAAGAAGGAACCACUGUUCCUGCACAGAAAAGACACAAAGGAAGUCAGAAUGUGGAGGAAAGGAAAGCAAGCAGGCUGGGAGGAGCAGUUUCAGAUAGCGUGACCAGCCAACACCCAGGGAGGCGACCUGCAGCACGAUUGUAAAGUCAGGAAACAAGGCUUAAGACACAGAGGAAGGACACUGCAGAGGGGCAGCCCGUGCACUGGGCCAUCGACACAGAGGGCUUUGGCGGGUGUUGGGGACAGUGGUAGGGUACUGAGUGGGUCCUGGGUCCUUCCAUGGAAGACAUGACCUCUGGGCGGGGUUGGAGCCCCUACUCCUGAGAAGCGGGACGUGGGAAACGGCUUGUGCAUGUGACAGGGGACAUUCCCGGGACAGCUGAUGCCGCAUCCCAGCCUCGGCCUUAGUACUGUGUCCACGAAGCCAGAGCCCCCAUCUCCCUCGUAGAGGGCAGCCUGUGUCUUGUCACCAUCUUGUCCAUUUCUACCUUGAAGGCAGCCCUUGCAAUGGGAACACUGCACACUUCGUUUUUCUUUUCUUUUCUUUUUUUUUUUUUUUUUUUGUCUUUUUCGUUUUUAUCGGUACCAGGGAUCGAACUCAGGACCGCCUGCUUGCAAGGCAGGUGCUUAUGCCGCUGAGCUAAAUCCCCAGCCCCACACACUUCGUUUUUCAACAAAGAAUAGAUUUGUUUCACUGAAGGCAUUAUUUAAAUUGCCAACAGAAAAACUAUAAAUAGUGUGUUCUAUAAUCUUCAUAAGGGGAAGCCUGUGUGAGCUCUACAUGGUUCACAGAAAGCAGUUAUUUGUUCUGUUUAUCUUCCGAGAUCAACUGUGCAGCUAUGGCAGGAAACUAGUUCUGUUAUUGCAAAUGUACUUAAAGUAGAUCUGAGUUAGUCCUUGGGAGGUCGCUUGUCUCCAGACAGUUGGCUGUGGACAGUUAUGUAAUAGUUACAUAACGCGCUCAGACCUCAGCUACUGCCGGCAAAGCCUCUCCACUAUCGCACUAAGUCAGCACAAGACUCCUGUAAACCCCUUCUUACCCAAACGAAGGCCUGGAUUUUCAGCAUUAGCUCCUAGAGGGUCACUUGGUUAGCAGGGCUGUUCCUGUCCCUUGGCUUUCUCAGGUCAGAUCUGUGACAAGAACCUACAGGAAAGGGCUGGAGAUUUAGCACGGUGACAAAAGUGUCUGCCUGGCAAGUGCAAAAUCUUGAGUUUGAUCCUUGGUAUCAAAAAAAAAAACAAAAAAAAAAAAACCCUGCAGGAAAACUUGGGGGAUUUUUUUGGAUUGAACCCAUGGCCUUCACACUGAGCUAUAGCCCCAGCUCUUUUUAAAUUUUGACACAGGGAGCCAGGCAUAGUGACACACACCUGUAAUCCCAGCACUCUGGAGGCUGAGGCAGGAGGACUGUUGUGAGUUCAAGACCCACCUGGGCUACCUAGUGAGUUCAAGGUUAGGCUGAACUGUAUUGUGAGACCCUGCCUCAAAACCCAAAAAAUUUUUUAAAAUUUCUGAGUCAGGGUCUGAGCUGGGCUUGAACUUAAGUUAUGCUUCAGCCUCUCUGAGUGCUGAGAUGACAGACAGAUACAGACUGUACCACAAUGUCAGCAGUUGUCAUCUUACAUGGAAAAGCUACGGGCAAGGGGUUGGGGAUUUAGCUUGGUGGUAUAAGUGCCUGCCUUGCAAGCGCGUGGUCGUGAGUUUGAUCCCUGGUACUGGUAAAAAAAAAAGAAAAACUAUGGGCAGAGGCUGGUUUCAGGCGCCACCACCGCUGGACCCUCUUCACCCUUCUGCAAGUUAACAGGGAAGAUAAGGAGAGCCCAGAGUGAAAUACAGGCUUUAUUUCCCCGGACUCGCCAUGUGCUUUGUUCCUGAUUUUUUCCCAGCAGCUCCUUCUGACCUUGUGAAGGGCCCAUUGGCCGGCCGCCUUUUGACUCAUCCUGGCCCUCGCCUGCAGACUUCCUCUCUGGUGGCUUCAGACCUGGCUCCCCGGCCAGCCUGCCUCUGCUCCCCCACGCUUCGAGGACACCAACCGCAGCCCCCCACCACCACCACGGCCCCUUUCUGUUGAAAUUGACUUUCAGAGUUCACUUGUGAUGCAGGCUCAGGGCUUUACCCACCGCCCCCGCAGCAGCGCACCUUUUCUGGAGUCCCUCCCUCCUAUCCCCUUUGUCACUUUGCUUUUUCCUUUGGCUUUGAGCUCUUGCUGACUCCUUCCCACACUUCCCAGUGGCCUCACAGCAAGGCCAGUCACAUUAAGUAAUCUGUCCCAGUGUUUUAAGAAGUGCAUGGAAAGUUUUCCACAGUUUCACUAUGAGUAUAAGGGGAACUGCCCUAGCACACCAAGUCCCAGGUUCAUUUUAUUAAAGUUUGAAACAGGAUUUCACAAAGUUAGCUAGACUGGAUUCCAACUCAAAAUCCUCCUGCUUCAGCCUCCCAAUGUAUGGGAUUACAGGCACGCACCAUUACACCAGCCAGGCCAGUCUUUUGCAGUGCCUUAUUUGGACCAGGCAGAGCCACUGCCUGAGUUAAACCUCUGCCUAGGAGGUCCAUCUUGUGUUUCGGGUCUACUGCGCAGAGGAAUCUGAGAUUCCUUGUUAGUCAGGUUGGGUUAGUGCCUGAAAGGAUCUAUUUCUCACAGUCUCCCAGGACAGUCUCACUGAAGGCAGCCCUGUGGCUUUGGACAGGUUGGACACCAGCCGUCCUGACCACUGGUCUACUGAGGUGCACAUAGACGCAGUUCCCCAUGCCAGUCACAGUUCCUGGUUCUCUGCUCCCCAGGGCUUGUGUCCUGCGCAAGGGUCUUGCUAUGCAGUUCGGGCUGACUUUGAACUCACUAUGUAGUUGAGCCUGGCCUUGAAUUUGUGGUGAUUCUCCUGCUUCAGCCUCCCAAAUGCUGGGAUUACAGGUUUGUGUCACCAUGC